rnacentral:lncRNA from 1 species
AUGGCGAUGGAGUGUAGGAAGUUUGCUUAUUCUGAGCAGAAGCAGCCUAUGGGAUGUCACGUUCUCUUCUCACCAACUGUGUGCUUGUGGAAGCGGGGCAAUUUCCCAGGAUGCACUGUGAACCUGAUUUCUGUGUGUCAGAUCGUCAUUUCCCAAACCCUGCGGCACUUCUCUGCGUUUUGCAAGAUUCAUCUGAUUUCCAUCGGAGUAAAAAUUUCAAAGAAUUGGUAAGUUGACAUUUCCAUCCAUAUCUUGGGACGUGACUUACCUCUGACAUUCAGACGUUCUUUUAGUGAGGAUAAACAAGCAAGGUGACGGCUUACGGACUUAAUCCACGAAGGAAGAAGAAACACUUCAUUGCUUGAAAUGUCAUUACCUUUAAGCCAACGUGUGCUAUACUGAGCUUAAUUUUGCAAAAUCCUGUGGUUUCCAAAACGCCUUCCUGUACUUUGGAUAAUCCAACAAGCAAGCACUGAGAACCUUCAAGCGCCAGGCACUGUGGCAGGUGCAGAGUCUGGACAGCCUAGUUCCUCAGAACCAGCUCCAGCCCAACACCCUGUCAUGCUCAUCUCCCGGGACUCCUAGGAGGAAAUACCCACGGCCCCUGGAAGGAGGGUGGAGGAGGGAACCGGGGAAAGGCUGAAGAAGGGGGAGCCGGUUAGGAGCCUCCUGCAGUGUAGCUGGACUAUGACUGCUUGUCCGACGUGGUAGGAGUGCAAAUAAAGACAACGGGCUGGGCGGCA